rnacentral:lncRNA from 1 species
AACCCAUGCCUAACGCCAACCCUUCCACGUGCGCAUCCCCUCCACUUUGACCUGGGGAAACCCUAAUUAGGAGUCGGAUUAGGGCUACAGUUUCAUUGCCAUCAGCCCUACCUCUCUGACACUGAUUGAGUGAGUGAGUGAGUGGGUGGGCCUUCUUAGCUUUGCUUUGGUUUUGGUUCAUUCCAGAGUCCUAGUUUUUUUAUUGUGUUCAUGGUGGAUGUGGAGUGAAUAACAAAAAUAUUGAUUCCCAAUUCAUUGUUCACUUGUUUGCAUGUGUAAUUGUUUUGUUCUUUAUUUUAUUCUUUUUAGUGAUGGACUCAGAUUCUGAGUGUUUGAGGAUUGUACCAAUUAUUCAAAUAAAAUCUGAGAAACUGUAUUGUAACAGAUAAAUUGCUUGAUUUGAAAAACUGAAAAUGGAUUUGUUUGUUAUUCAUACAUGCUUCAAAGUUAUGAUGGGUUGGCUCUUGGGCUCGCUCAGUAAAAUGGGUGAUAGAGUUCAAGAUGGUUUUAAAAUAUUGUUUUACUUGUUUGUGUCAACAAAAUAUUCGAAAAGAAACAGAAAGAAAAAAAAAAAAAAAAAAGGCUGUGUUGAGUUCAUUCAAACAUGUAAAAUCUUUCCUUGAGUCAAUAUGCACAUAUGUACAUUUAUAUACACACACACACACACACUGAAUAAGUGAGCAUGUCUAUUUUAUUUAUUUAUUUUGGUAAUUCCAUAGUAUUCAUAUUUCUUCUUACUAUGUCAUAUGUUUAAAUGUAACUGGUUCUUCAAUUUCACAUUUUACAGUACACAAACUAACUGUAUGGAUUCAAUUAUUAUUUUGGCAUAAUUGAAUUAAAACGUUUUGUAUUUUUUUUUAAAUGAUUCUUGGAUACUCGAUAGUGACAAAUAAUGUAAUCAGUGGAUUUUAAUCCUGUUCUUAGAAAUGGACAUUUACAAGUUUUCUCAGAGAAAUUUUUGUUGUUACUUUUGAAAACGGAUUUAAACUUCAUCAUCUCUAACUUUCUUCUGUUUUAAUGUUAUUUUUUGAGUAAAUUUUCAAAACUGGAAUACAGUGGGGAACCAUAAUGAACCUUUUAUCUAUGUGAAUAACAUCACAUCACAUUCAAGGAUUUCAUACUUUCCACAGAACUUUGUAUUCAGUUGUUAUCCCUUUGAACUUGAACAAUUCAAAAAUAUAUUCUUUCAAAUCAUUUCACUGAAGUCUUUCUGAAAUCCUUAGAUCUAGUGGAUCUGGAUAGCAAUGUUUCAUCACCACUUUAUUAAAAUAUCUACAAUCCAGAUUCACAUGAAAUGGUGUUUUUGCUUUUCUUUACUUUUCUCUUUUCUCUUCUUUUUGUAAAUAACAUGGUACUCCCAUUGGAAAAUUAUGAACACUUGUUUUACUUAGUAUUUGAUACACUGUAGAAACCUGUAACUAUAAAUACAUCAAUUUGAUUUGUGGAAAUGUUACAUUAUGAAUUUGAUGUUAUCAUUUAAACAGUAUGUCAAAAUAUUAAUUUAGAUACAUUUCAAGAAGUUCAUUGUUGGUGUGAAUGUGUUAGUUUCUUUUUAAACAUUGCAAGUGUUUAUGGAAAAUAAAUAAAUAAAUAAGAUAUUUCGUUCACUGAAUAUUCUAUGUUGUGUAUCAGCCUUUAUUAUUUCAUUUUAUUUUAUCUUUUGAGGAGAAAUGCACCUGUUACUGCCAUUUUAAUUUGAAAACUUCUUGAAAUGGCAUGAACUUCAAAUCAGCAUUAAAACUUUAUGUUGGGAUUAUGGGAAAAACUUUGAAACUUAGAACAAAAAGGCACAAUAUUGUAUUAACUAUUCCGACCUCAAACAACCUCUGAAGGGCUAAGAAAAUCACCCACCCAAUUCCAGCACUG